rnacentral:rRNA from 1 species
CUACGGGGCGCUGCAGUGGGGAAUUUUGGACAAUGGGCGCAAGCCUGAUCCAGCCAUUCCGCGUGAGUGAAGAAGGCCUUCGGGUUGUAAAGCUCUUUCGCAAGGGAAGAAAACUUAUCCUCUAACAUAGGGUGAGGUUGACGGUACCUUGAUAAGAAGCACCGGCUAACUACGUGCCAGCAGCCGCGGUAAUACGUAGGGUGCGAGCGUUAAUCGGAAUUACUGGGCGUAAAGCGUGCGCAGGCUGUUUUGUAAGUCAGAUGUGAAAUCCCCGAGCUCAACUUGGGAACUGCGUUUGAAACUACAAGACUAGAAUAUGUCAGAGGGGGGUAGAAUUCCAUGUGUAGCAGUGAUAUGCGUAGAGAUGUGGAGGAAUACCAAUGGCGAAGGCAGCCCCCUGGGAUAAUAUUGACGCUCAUGCACGAAAGCGUGGGGAGCAAACAGGAUUAGAUACCCCGGUAGUC